ensembl:lncRNA
AUGCGAGGGGGAGAAAUGUCUGGCAGCAGAGCAAGGAAGGUCCAGCCGUUCACUAUUACCACCAAGCUUUCCCUACCCAAGUGCUCCCUGGACUUUCCAGGAGACAGCUGUCCUGACAUAGCUGCUCUGGAUAAUCAUGCCCUGCACCAAAACCUCAAUGAGCGUGUGUCUCUGUAUCUGGCUCAGGCUUCUCCCGUGUCCUCUGAGGGUAGGUUUGACAGCACCAGCCCCAUUGAGGAGGUGGCCACCAAUGAAGAUCGCAUCAACCGCAACUCCCUGUCCCGCUCCAUCAAGAAAAUCACCUUGUCCAACUGGCACGGAGAACCUAAUCCAGGGGAGGAAACAUCAACUCAUACCCGUUGCGAGAGGAACUGCAACAACAACAACUGCAGAACAGGGAAAGCACAGUUUAAGGUCUUUCUCAGAAAAGAGGUGGAAAUAGAAGAAGAAAAGCAAGACUCUAGGAGGCCCCAGGCUUGUGGCCAUUCUUCAUUGGGCAGAGUUGCUCCUCUUCACAUGAUGUCAAGCUGUGCUGUUGCAGGUCCCUGGAAGGAGAAUGUCAAGAACAUACAGGCAGGCAAAGUAGCAGGGCUGAAGCCUUGCCUCCAGAGCAGCCCAGGGCUGGCCGACCUUUCCAAAUGGAGCCCUCACAUAGCUCAGUUCAACUGUGACAUGAUGCAGGCUGAGAAAUGGGUGCGAGCAAAACUCCGAGACCUGAAGGAUGGUUGCAGUAUUCAGGAAUGGGAGCGGGCAGCACAGAUGUUACAAAGAGACAUGAAAGACUUCGAGAAUACCAUUAUCAAACUGAACCAGAUGGGUGACCAGCUUACUGUCCAGUCAAACUCCAGUGCCGAGAUAGCGAGGCGACUACAAACCCUGUGCGAACAGUGGCAACUGCUGAAGCAGAUGGCAGCAAAUCAGAGCAAAGCAGUGAGCGGACUCAGAAACUUACAAGAGUUCAACCAGAAAGCUGAGCAACUAGAAGCUUGGAUCAGGCAGAAGGAAGAGAAACCUUUGCUAACUGCCCUGCUACAAGAGAAUGCAGACAAGAUUCAGCUUACCCGACGCAUCCUUGACUUGAAACAGGAGGAGCAGCAGUUCCAGGCCCUGCAUGAGGAAAUGAACAGCCUGGCUCACAAACUUGAGAAGCAGGGGAAGAGCGAGAGCAGGAGCAUUAUGGCACGGCGCAAGCAUCUCAAUAAAAUGUGGCUGCGGCUCCAGGGGACACUGAAAGAACACCAUGAGACCCUGCAGCUGGCUCUGGAAGCUGCUGCCUUCGUCCAGCAGGCAGAAGUGCUCCUUGGGGCCAUCCAUGCAAAGCGGAGGAAUCUCUGUGGAGUGGGGAAACAGAGGGAACCUGAAACCAGCCCAGACCUGGAUGUCAGGGAUAUAGCUAGUCAGGUCAUGAUGCUGGAUGUGACCGUGUCCCAGUUGACAAGCCUCCAUCCCAGCCUAGUAGCACGAGUCUCUCUCAAGCAUCAAGAUGUGAAGGAGAGCUGGGCCCAGCUCCAGCAGUUAUUGAGGAGAUCAAUUGAUUCCCCGAAUCGUGAGCAAGUGAAGAUCAUGUCCAACAGUGCAGGGAGAGAGGCUGGAGGGAAACCUGUAUGGGAGAUAUGGAAGGACAUCCAAGGAAGCCAAGACUCACCAGGCAAGGAGGCCAUCGCCAGUGACAGCAGGAGGAGGAGGAAGAAGCUUCUCUGGCAUUCAAAUGCCUUGAAGGACCUGCCCCAGCAGGAGGCACACCUUCAGGACUUCUGCCAGGUCGCUGAUGGGGAGCUACACAAGUGGAGUCCUCAGAUGGAAGAUGCCCUUGAGGACCUGGAGGAUCUCUGGGAGGAACUGAGAAGGCGGCACCAAGAGAAUGGCAUGGCCCUGAGGGAGAUUGAUACAGCUCUGCGGUUGGUUGGGGAGGUAGAAGAGGCUGAGUGCUGGCUAGAAACUGUGCUAGGCUUGCUCUCUGAGCCAGAAGCAACAGCAGCAAAGAACCUUGAUGACCUCCAUGGGGACCUAGAGAAGGUUGGCACCCUGGAGAACCAAGUGGAGGUGUGGCAUAUUAAGCUUCAAGCCCUGCAGGAGGAAAUGAAAAUGGACUCCUCCUCGGAACACACAGCAGCUGCAAUGAUUCAUAGAAAGAUGGAACGAGUGAAGGAAAAGUUCGCCUGUGUGCAGGAGGCUCUCCAGCGCCGAACAUCAGACUUGAAAGAUGCCCUGGUUUUAACCGAGUUCUUGCAGAAUGUGCAUAUGGAAGAAAUGCUGAGUCACAGGAACCAAGUACAGGCAGUGCCGAACCAGCUAGGCUCCCAAGAGCCUCUGCAGCUUCUCAUAGCUCAGGGUGCUCAACAGCUGAGCAAUGAGGACAUGAACAGGUCACUGGAGGAACUGCAAGAAGCAGUGGACAUGCUGAACAGUGUUGUGAAGGAGCGCGAGCGGGCCAUGGAGGCAGUGACCAAGACAGAGAAUCUGAAGUGCUUUGUGCAGGCCUUGUCAAGUGGGGAGGAAACUAAGCUGGCCUGGGUCACCUCACGGAUCAAGACAAUGAGGAACAGAGCAGAAACACUGGCUCAGGACAUAAUGCAGGCAGAGAGAAGCUUUGCCACAGUGAAGAGUGAGGCAGAUCUUCUGGAGCUGCAGUGGCUCACGGAAAGGCAGAAAGAGAUAGAGAGUGAAAUGUCUAGCCUGGAAGGGGACAUGGAGAAACUACAGAGAGCCUUCAUGGAGCUGGAAGAUUGCUGUCUGAUUGAAAUGCCAAAUGAGUCCAGAAGAAUCAGUGAAACAUUGGAGGCUUGGAAAGAUCUGCAAAAGCUGGUGUCGGGAAAUGCAGUUCAUGGACAGCAAGCCGCUCAUUUGCGACAAUUCUUCAGAGCUUAUUUAGCCAUUAUCUCCUGGACAGAGGAUACUCGGGCACAGAUCUUCUCUGAGACUAUGAGUACCCACGGUCUCUCAGAAGCUCAGUGGGAAGACCUGGAAAGGAACAUGGAGACUAAGUUCAAGGAGUUUGAGAAGCUGGCAGCAGUUGGAUGGAAACUGGUAGCUGAGGAGCACAGCUUGAGUGAGACAAUAAAGGAGCGAAUGGAGGAGCUGCAAAGCAUGCUGGGAUGGGUGAUGGUGCGCUGGAGAGCACAGAGUUCCCAGAAGGACCCUGGCAGUAAGAGUGAUGGCAGGGAGACUCAGAAUGGCACGCUGAACAUGACCGAGCACUGCCAAAUUAAAGUAGUUCCUGAAUCAGGUGUGGGUGAAGCAAAUGGUAUCCUAAACUCCAGUGUUUCUGAGAGGCCUCCACUCACCCUCAGCUCCCUCCAAAAUGGUUCAGCAGCACAGCAAGAGAGCAAAUCGGUCUCCACUGCAGUGCUGUCUACCCUGGAUGUUCUUCCAGGGCACAGGCAGAGUCUGGAAGAAUUGGAAAACCACUUGCCCUUUGAGAUGGACGUCCCGAAGGAGACUCUGAUCCUGGAACCCUUGGAGACCCCUGUGCUGCUGGUGCCCCAGCCAGGCCCUGGCAGUCUGGGUGGCACAGUGAACUUGAUACUGAGCCUUGGGAAGAAAGCAGGGAGAGAGGCCACAGGAAGCCAGGUUGGAGCAGCAACAUCAAUGGGACCGGAAACCUUGCACAAGGUGAGCACCUAUUUGCACGUGAAGGAGAAAGAGGGAGACAGAGAUGCAGGCAUGGUUUGUGGAAGCUCUACUAUGCUGCGGCCUGCUAAGCAAACGCCUCCCGGAGCUCACUCUUCCCCAUUUCCCAGUCCUGGGUGGGGCACCUCAGCCUUCCACACCUUGCCCAAGAUCAGCUCCAGCUGCUUCUUACGGAGCCUGAAGAGAAAAGGCAGAGUGGAGGCAGAAGAUGCCCAGCUCCUCACCUUGCAAGGGAUCAUGGGAACCGAACCAAGCGACCUGCAGGCAAGGCAAGGGGAGAGGAGCAGCACUAGUAGCACCUGGCCCCCAAAGGGUAACAGGAGGGCACAGGCCUUGCAGGCAGAGUGCCCAGCACCCUGCAGAGAGUUGACAGACUAUGUGAAGAACCCAUUGGAACGGGCUAUUGACGCUGAAUGUGACUCGGUUAGGGAAGUAUCUGGAUGUCACGUGUUCCCAAGAGAGAGCAGAGGUCUCAAAAGCCCCCCGUCACUGGCAGAGCGGAUGAGCCACACAUGCCAGCAUCUUUCUCUCGGUUCUGUCCUGAGCCUGGAGCUCCCCAAGGACCCCACAGUCCUAAGGAAUAUCCAUGAUACCAUCAGAGUAGCAAAAGAGGGAGCAGCAGGAAGGAAGGGAAUAAGCCAGGCCUGCCAGGGAGCUCGGAGCAGCCCAGCUGGGGCAAAAGUGCAGGAGGUUGGUAGUAGCCUGCAAAAGAGGGUGCUCGGAGGGCAGCCAGUCGUGCACCAGAGGCCCCUCAGGCCUGAAGAUGCUCGUGACAAGCUUCCCCAGGGUAAGGGAGGCACAUGGUUUGAAGAGGUGAGCAUCAACCCAAGCUACAGCAGGCAGAAGGCCUGCUUCGUUGCUCUUUCUGGAGAAGACAGGCAGAGUCCAAAUAGCCAGAGCAGUCCUAAUGAUGACUUCCUGGAUUUCAAGCAGAACCGGCUAUCCCGCAUUAGUGUCCUGCAUGAGCAGAUAGGUAUAGAGUGGGACAGACUAGCUACCUCACUGGGUACAACUGGCAGCUCCAAGGAGGUGCAGGUAAAGGGUCCGGCUGACCACAAAGUCAGAGAAGCAUCCCGGGUGAAACUGAAGCCCUCACCUGCUAAGCACACAGGCAGCUCCGAUGCAGUUUCCAGUAUAGCCAAAGCUAAGAACCCUGCUGUGAAUGGGGCAGAAAAAAGGGAAGCUGUGUGA